GCUGGUUGGAGGGGGUGAGGGGCAGUAUUAUACAAUCUUUAUAUAUUUUUAAUAUUACAUAUACAGGUUGUGUAAUACUGCCCCUUACCCCCCUCCAAUCAGCACCUAAAU